CAUGCAAGUCGAGCGAAUGGAUUAAGAGCUUGCUCUUAUGAAGUUAGCGGCGGACGGGUGAGUAACACGUGGGUAACCUGCCCAUAAGACUGGGAUAACUCCGGGAAACCGGGGCUAAUACCGGAUAAUAUUUUGAACUGCAUGGUUCGAAAUUGAAAGGCGGCUUCGGCUGUCACUUAUGGAUGGACCCGCGUCGCAUUAGCUAGUUGGUGAGGUAACGGCUCACCAAGGCAACGAUGCGUAGCCGACCUGAGAGGGUGAUCGGCCACACUGGGACUGAGACACGGCCCAGACUCCUACGGGAGGCAGCAGUAGGGAAUCUUCCGCAAUGGACGAAAGUCUGACGGAGCAACGCCGCGUGAGUGAUGAAGGCUUUCGGGUCGUAAAACUCUGUUGUUAGGGAAGAACAAGUGCUAGUUGAAUAAGCUGGCACCUUGACGGUACCUAACCAGAAAGCCACGGCUAACUACGUGCCAGCAGCCGCGGUAAUACGUAGGUGGCAAGCGUUAUCCGGAAUUAUUGGGCGUAAAGCGCGCGCAGGUGGUUUCUUAAGUCUGAUGUGAAAGCCCACGGCUCAACCGUGGAGGGUCAUUGGAAACUGGGAGACUUGAGUGCAGAAGAGGAAAGUGGAAUUCCAUGUGUAGCGGUGAAAUGCGUAGAGAUAUGGAGGAACACCAGUGGCGAAGGCGACUUUCUGGUCUGUAACUGACACU
rnacentral:rRNA from 1 species